CCAUAUUCCUCAAAGGAGAUUGCUCAAAGACUGCUGCUGAUAUCUCAAAGAAGAUCCUUUAAGAGAUUGCUUUCCAUGCAAUUAUUAAGACUGGCAAUAGGGUGCUGUUUGUUGGCAGACAACACGUCCUUGGACUUUGGGAAACAGAUGCACAUAGAAACCAGGAGAAGCUGGCAGUCGAGGAGAUCAUCAGAUGACAAUUCCAGCCAGGAACCUGGAGGCAAGAACUGAAGCAGAGGCUGUGGAGGAGGACUGCUUACUGGCUUGCUCAGUUUACUUUCUUUUAACACCCAACAUUGCCAGUCCAGGAGUGACACUGCUCACAGUGAGCUGAUGCCUUACACAUCACUCAUUAAUCAAGGACACACACCACAAACCAUCCUGGUGGGGACAUUUUCUCAAUUGAAGUUCUUUUUUCUCUAA